GAAAGAGGGAUUAAUACUCCGUAACAUAAUGAAGUGGCAUCACUUUAUUAUUAUAGCUCCGGCGGUUAAAGAUGGGCGUGCGCCUGAUUAGAUAGUUGGCGGGGUAACGGCCCACCAAGUCUGCGAUCAGUAACUGGUGUGAGAGCACGACCAGUCACACGGGCACUGAGACACGGGCCCGACUCCUACGGGAGGCAGCAGUAAGGAAUAUUGGUCAAUGGACGCAAGUCUGAACCAGCCAUGCCGCGUGGAGGAUUAAGGCCCUCUGGGUUGUAAACUCCUUUUAUCUGGGAAGAAAUGCCAUUUUUCUAAAUGGUUUGGCGGUACCAGAGGAAUAAGCACCGGCUAACUCCGUGCCAGCAGCCGCGGUAAUACGGAGGGUGCAAGCGUUAUCCG
rnacentral:rRNA from 1 species